rnacentral:rRNA from 1 species
UACGGGGGGGGCAAGCGUUGUUCGGAAUUACUGGGCGUAAAGCGCGUGUAGGCGGCUCUUCAAGUCGAGUGUGAAAGCUCCAGGCUUAACCUGGGAAUUGCGCUCGAUACUGUUGAGCUAGAGUGUGGAAGGGGCUACUGGAAUUCCGUGUGUAGCGGUGAAAUGCGUAGAUAUACGGAGGAACACCAAUAGCGAAGGCAGCUCGCUGGGACGUUACUGACACUGAGGCGCGAAAGCGUGGGGAGCGAACAGG